GCGACUCUUCAAAUUCAGUUGCUUAAUGCAUCUGUGCCCAGCAAGGCACACUUUCUCUGCUCCCUGCUUCCGGCAAAGUUCCUACGAACCUGCUGUGACCACGUAUCUCCUCUGUGUCUGCCUUCCCCUGGGAUGGUUGUAUGCUGCUGGUGAUAGCUUGGCCUGCAGGCUCGCUCUUCCAGCUUCCCCGCCUCUGGAAGGUCUCUCGGCUUCCACCCUUGGCCCAGCGUGCUUGUCUGUUUUCAAACCAUAUUGCGCAUCCACAGUUCCCAGAAAAUUACUUGUCAUUCUUGCUUAUCACCUAAAAUAAUAACCGUUUUCCCCC
rnacentral:lncRNA from 1 species